rnacentral:rRNA from 1 species
GAUUAAGCCAUGCGAGUUAAAUGUUCUUCGUGAACAUAGCAGACUGCUCAGUAACACGUGGAUAACCUGCCCUUAGGACUGGCAUAACCCCGUGGAAACUGGGGAUAAUUCGGGAUAGAUCAUAAAUGCUGGAAUGCUUUAUGAUUGAAAGGUUUCGACCGCCUUAGGAUGGAUCUGCGGCCUAUCAGGUUGUAGUGGGUGUAAUGUACCUACUAGCCUACGACGGGUACGGGUUGUGGAAGCAAGAGCCCGGAGAUGGAUUCUGAGACAUGAAUCCAGGCCCUACGGGGCGCAGCAGGCGCGAAAACUUUACAAUGCGGGAAACCGUGAUAAGGGAACACUGAGUGCUAGCAUUUAUGUUAGCUGUCCACAUGUGUAAAUAGCAUGUGAUAGCAAGGGCUGGGCAAGACCGGUGCCAGCCACCGCGGUAACACCGGCAGCCCGGGUGGUGAUCACUAUUAUUGGGUCUAAAGGGUCCGUAGCCGGUUUAAUCAGUCUUCUGGGAAAUCUAAUCGCUUAACUAUUAGGCUUCCAGGGGAUACUGUUAGACUUGGGACCGGGAGAGGUAAGAGGUACUGCAGGGGUAGGAGUGAAAUCUUGUAAUCCCUGUGAGACCACCAGUGGCGAAGGCGUCUUACCAGAACGGGUCCGACGGUGAGGGACGAAAGCUGGGGGCACGAACCGGAUUAGAUACCCGGGUAGUCCCAGCUGUAAACGAUGCUCGUUAGGUGUCAGGAACGGUGCGA